UUAGAGUUUGAUCCUGGCUCAGGAUGAACGCUAGCGGGAGGCUUAACACAUGCAAGUCGAGCGGCAGCACGGACUUCGGUCUGGUGGCGAGCGGCGCACGGGUGCGUAACGCGUAUGCAACCUGCCUUAUACAGGGGGAUAGCCCAUGGAAACGUGGAUUAAUACCCCAUAACAUUAUGAAUUCGCAUGGAUUUAUAAUUAAAAUUUCGGUGGUAUAAGAUGGGCAUGCGUCUGAUUAGCUAGUUGGUGAGGUAACGGCUCACCAAGGCGACGAUCAGUAGGGGUUCUGAGAGGAUUAUCCCCCACACUGGUACUGAGACACGGACCAGACUCCUACGGGAGGCAGCAGUGAGGAAUAUUGGUCAAUGGGCGCGAGCCUGAACCAGCCAUCCCGCGUGCAGGAUGACGGCCCUAUGGGUUGUAAACUGCUUUUCUACGCCAAGAAAGGCCCCGACGUGUCGGGGAUUGACGGUAGCGUAGGAAUAAGCAUCGGCUAACUCCGUGCCAGCAGCCGCGGUAAUACGGAGGAUGCAAGCGUUAUCCGGAUUCAUUGGGUUUAAAGGGUGCGCAGGCGGGAAAGUAAGUCAGUGGUGA
rnacentral:rRNA from 1 species